UGCCCACAGAACCGUUAGCAACAAAUUUUACCACUGGGACGCUGGUUAGUUGGGCAACUAUUUCUGGGUGAAUAGAUGGGUUAAAGCAGGGAUUCUGAAAGUGCUUGACCCAAUUACCCCUUUCCUCAGUCUUGAAUAAUGUCAUUAACAUGAUCCCCACAAAGAGAGAUAAUGCUGUUUUACCCAGUUGUCUCAGCAGCUGGAGUCAACUGAAUCCUCAACUUACAAACAAGUAAUUGCAAAUUGCUGCAUUAUCACCCAGGAUAGGCCCUAAAGAUCCUACUCUAGUUCAAGUACUUCUGGGUUAAAAAGUCUGACUACAGGCAAGGUAAUCGAGGGAACAAGGACCAUUCUUUUGAAGAGGAUCUUAGUGACUCCAGAGAUUCCCCAAUCUCUGUAAAAGGGCCUUUAGGUAAAGGUAAAGGUUUCCCUCGCACAUACGUGCUAGUUGUUGCCAACUCUAGGGGGUGGUGCUCAUCUCUGUUUCAAAGCCGAAGAGCCAGUGCUGUCCGAAGACAUCUCUGUGGUCAUGUGGCCGGCAUGACUCAACACCAAAGGCUCACAAAAGGCUGUUACCUUCCAUCAAACGUGUUAUUCUACUUGCAUCUUUAUGUGCUUUCGAAACUGCUAGGUUAGCUUCUUGGGAGCUCACCCCGUUACACGGCAGCACUAGGGAUUCGAACCGCUGAGCUGCCAACCUUUUGAUCGACAAGCUCAAAGUCCUAGCCCCUGAACCACCACGUCCCCCCCCAAAAAAAAGGUCCUUUACCACUUCCCAAAUUUGCCAACUACAUACUUUUCUGCUGGGUUGAGUAAAAUGAUCAAAUUGCUCUUGAAAAGCUACAGGCUGUGGCUUGUGGUGUCUCUUAAAGACCAUACAUUUUAAUUACAAAGUUCCAAACCAUAUGAGGCUAGGAUAUUGAAAAACUACCUCUUCCCAUUUAAUUGUUGUUAGUUGCGAAGUCGUAUCUGACCCAUCGCGAUCCCAAGGACAACAUUCCCCCAGGCCUUCCUGUCUGCUACCAUCCCCUAGAGUCCAUUUAGGCUCACGCCAACUGCUUCAGUGACUCUAUCCAGCCACCUCAUUCUCUGCCACCCCUUCUUCUUUUGACCAUUUAGAGCAGUGGUGGGUUUCAAAAAUGUUUACUACUGGUUCUGUGGGUGUGGCUUGGUGGGCGUGGCAGAGGAAGGUUACUGCAAAAUCCCCAUUUCCUCCCCAUCAGCUGGGACUUGGGAGGCAGAGAAUAGAUGGGGGCGGGGCCAGUGAGAAUUUUUACUACCAGUUCUCCGAACUACUCAAAAUUUCCACUACUUGUUCUCCAGAACUUGUCAGAACCUGCUGAAACCCACCUCUGAUUUAGAGCCCCCCAUAAUUUCCUGUCUUCCUCAGAAGCUUGUAGUGUAUGUCAUUCCCCCCCCACCCAUAAGGGAUCAGGUUGGGGAGGGUAUAGGAAAUUGAAGUAUGUGGAAGCAGCAAAAUAAUACACUUAUUCUUUAUCUUUACUCUUCCAGAUGUUAUUCAUGUAGACAUUGCAAUUCUUCCAAGUGCCUUACACCUUCUGAUCUCAGGGAUGCAAUCACCAUGUUGAUCAAUUUCUAGAGCCCAGGAAGAUGAAGUCCUUUACUAUUUCUCAUUGUCCAGCUGCACUAUGACCUGUGUGUUUUCUCUGCAGUUGUCUUUAUCUUUAUUUUCUUGAUGUUAAAGUGCAGCCCAAAUCUUUCAGGUUCCUCUUUGUCUCUCAGGAUUAGCCAGGAAUAGCCAUUCCAGAUGUUCUAUCAUCUGCAAAUUGAAGAUUGUUGUAUAAAAUGUAUAAAAGUGCACAUGCAUGUUUAAAUUUAACAGACCUUUGGAACUAAUGGAAUUAUACUCAUGAAGCCUGCCUCUCUUCCAGGUGAUUUAUCUUUCUCCUGGGGCUAGUUAAAAAAAAGGAAUAUCUCAUCCGUAAUUGUGGAUCUCUUUACAGAGUUUAUUUAUCUCCUUAGUCAGGACAUGCAGGUACACUAGAGGUACAGCAGGAACUUAUGGUAUUCGACAGGCAGCCUGGAGAACACUCGACUGUCCGGCCCAUUCUCCAAAUUGGCUCUCCUGGCUUCUGCUAUAGCUUCCUGUAGCUGCUCCUUGGCUGCAGUGCUUCCGUCGGCUUCUGUCUCAGGUCCCAAGAACUCCAAACUGUUGCCCAGCAUCUUCCCAUCACAAGGACUCACCUGCCUAUCCUCACCCUGCUAUUCCUCGCCCAAAGCUUCCCGCCCUUCAUUGUUGCCCCUGUAGCUGUAGUGGGGGAGGGGGCUAGUUGCAAAUGCUUUCCUUUCUGAAGGGUCCUUCGUGCUCUCUGAGCUUGCUUGUUUUCUUGCAGACAUUUCAUUACCUAAACUCAGAGAGAGCCAAGGACCCCACAUUUCAACCCUGACCUACAAAUAUUCUCUUUUAUUGGCUUUUAUUUCUCUCUGAUCUCAGUUCUCCCUCCGGAUUUCUGCCCACCUUAGAAUCAGGUUCUUUUACAUGUUUCCGAGAUAGGGCGUGCUCUCUCUGCCUUCUUCCAAAUCAGUUCUUCCACCAUCUAUCCCUUUGCCUGGCCUUUGGGGCUUAAUUAAACCCUAACCUGGGUUUAGGCCGCCUUUUGUAGGAAAUCUUCUUGCCUCUUCCUCUCCCCAAGAUAUGCAGCUCUGCUUGCUUACGAGGACCCUGCAUCUGGAGACCUGGGCAUUUAUCCAGCAUACCUUUGCCGUUGUGGCUUUUUCCUCCUCCCCUCAAAGCAAGGGGCUGCUCAAGUUACAGGACCUUCACUUCCCGUAGAAACUGCAAAAAAAAAAAAGGAAAGGAAAGGAAAGGAAAGGAAAGGAAAGGAAAGGAAAGGAAAGGAAAGGAAAGGAAAGGGGGGAAAAAGGAAAAAAGGAGAGGGGUUUAUCCUAAACAGAAGAAAGGAACGAAGCAACGAGAAGGAAAAGGGAAAGAAAAGAGAAGUUGCAUUCCUUAGGAGGAAGGAGAAGUGGAGAGCAGCUGCUACUGGUAUUAUUCUGCCCUCCUUCUCUGCCUCUCAGAACCAGAGUACAACUGAGCAGUGCAAAAAUCUUAGAAAUAAGUAAAUAAAAUUAGCCUGUUUAACAAUAAAGAAUUUAAAAACGUUUGAAGAAGCAAGAUUUAAUAUAUAAGUUCCAAAGAUUUUUCUGCUUUCCACAGUAAAGCAAUGUUUCAAUAGCUGCUCCUUUUAAACAGUUUCCAUUCUGAAAAUCUAAGGCAAUCUCAUCCAUCUGCUUUAGAGAUGACCCGGGAGCAAUUGUCUCCUGUAAAUACAGCAUAUGGAUUGUGAUGCACUUCCAUCACAAAUCCAUAACUUCGUAUGUUAAAGAGCACAUUUAUCCAUUAGGGAUUCAAUUUUAUGGAUCUAUAUACUCUCAGUCAGCAGUUUUAAUAAUCAAAUGCAUUAUCUAAGCUGUUGCACAUUAGCCGUUUUUGAGAAUUAAGCAACAAGAAUCAGAAUUAUAGAUGCAAAGGUGAGAUGGGCUAUUUAGGGAGAGGGUUAAAUGAUUAAUACAAUUGUUCACAGAUUUCUUCUUGCGUAAAUUUAGUUUGGGCUUUACCAAUGCAAGUAAUAGGUGUUAAAAUGUGAAGUGUCUCAGUAUAUAAAGACAAUUCUCUUAAAGCUAAAAAUCCUUAAAUACUGUACAGUAAAAACACAUCCAAAAUUAAUGGUGCUCAGUUAAAAGUUUGAGUUGCACUCUGACUUUGAUAAAGCAGUUGGAAAGUCAACAGUCUCUUUGCAUUCUCACAUUCUUUAUUUAUUCCAGAUCGCUUUGGAAGGUGCAAAUGUAAUGCAAAGUGUCAUUUCACUUCAGUGCACUUUUUCCUCUCAUGACAGUAUGCAUUGGCCCCAGAGAAUUUGAAAACCCGACUGGAGAAUUUUGUGUCAAGUACUUCUUGUUUUGCAAGAGGCAAUUGGAAAAUAUGUAUCCUUUCUAAUUGAUAUCUUUGGGGUUAGAGAAUACUAUAUAACAGAUGCUCUUUAGUUAGAAAAUAUACCAGCUGAACAGAAAAUCCUAUCCUUGCAUAUUGUACAUUUUGUUGGAAGAAAUGUCCAUCUGGGUUCAGUUGCAAGUGGGGAGAAAGACACUGGAAACAUGGAGACUGCUUGAAAACAUGGUUUAAUGGUGGACAGGACCACAUGAUUUUGAGGUCCUGGGCAAAAAAGCACAUGGAUGUGUGAGAGAGAUUUAUACCCUCUGUUGGGCUUUGAAUUUGAGCUUGUAUUCUGAUUGGUUGUCCGACUCCCAUGGGCCAUGCAGGGGUAACUUUGUAGGCUGUCUUUUGAGUCCCAGGCUUGGUUGAAUCUUGCUGGGUGAUGAUGUAAUAAAGAGUGUUUUGGGCAAUUCCUAUUAUGGCUGAGGGUUAAUCCUACCUUUGUUGGAUCUUGGGUGAGGGCAUUUGCUUAUGAAUAGACCUAGCUAUCUCUAUUUUUAAAGUGCUGACAUCUGCUGUGGGCUAUUUUUUUUUUUUGGUUUACAUUUAUAUCCCGCCCUUCUCUGAAGACUCAGGGCGGCUUACAGUGUGUAAGGCAAUAGUCUCAUUCUAUUUGUAUAUUUACAAAGUCAACUUAUUGCCCCCCCAACAAUCUGGGUCCUCAUUUUACCUACCUUAUAAAGGAUGGAAGGCUGAGUCAACCUUGGACCUGGUGGGGCUUGAACCUGCAGUAAUUGCAGGCAGCUGGUUUUAAUAACAGGCUUCUUAUAGCCUUGAGCCACCACGGCCCUAUUGAGAGUGUGGGGGCUAUUAAGAGUGAGUCUGCUUCCUGCCAUCCGGAGAGGUAUAAUAUUCUGCCUUUUUAAUAUUUCCUAGAAUAUUUCAUUUUUCUAGGAGAGAGGUGGGUGCUAACUUCCUACAAUUUUUUAAAAAAAUCUAAUUCUCAGUUUGCAGAUAAGAAAAAAAAAUAGAAAUUAUUUCUCUGCUAUAACUUUCUUAAAUUUAAUUUGUCACAUGCCUUAACUUUUAAAAAAGAAAUAGAGCUCUAAGAAAAAGAGAAAAGGAGAAUUCAAAGUCUACUGGAUAUAUUAAAAUAUCUAUAAAUUUGUUCUUAAUUUGCUAAGUGUGCUUCCACGCAAAUUCUAAAAUAUAUUCACUUUGAUAAUCUUAUUUCAUGAUUAAUUAAUUGCCUUAAUAAGCACGUAAAAAGUUAAUAUCUUGCUAUGAACAUUACUGAAAUUGUGGUUAUUGUGCUUUAAUCACAAAAAUCUAGUCAUUAAUGAAAUAAUGAUGAAGAGUUUAAAGAUUAUAAGUAUGCUUCUGAUAAUCUUUAAAUGAGACUAAUUCAGCCAAAAAAUUGUUUCAUGUUUACCAGAUGCCUAAAGAAUGUUUUGAAAAUGUUAGUUGUGUUCAUUAUGAUAAAAAUAUAAAAUGAUAGAGAGGACAUAAUAUGGCUUGUCUUCUUACUGUUGCAUUUUUGGUUAAUAUGCAUAAAUAACUUCAUAUUGCAAAGAGAAGAAUUGUAAUGUUUAAAGUUGUACGUGUAAUUUUGGACAAUUUAUUAAAGAUUUGAACUUACAUAUGAAGAACUAUAACGAAAUAAACAAUAGAGAUUUUUUUUAAAAAAACCAUUCAAUUAUUCCUUUUGCCCUUCUUUCUGUUUGAGUAAUUAUCCUCUUAAAAUUUUUCCCAAACCUUUUCAUGUCUUUUUAAUUCCCAAGUCCCCAAAUCAUCAAUUUGUUUUUCCUUCUUUCAACAAAAAAUACUUACAGGUUUUCCAACCUUUCAAAAAAAAACCAAACCUGUCAUUUUUUUCUCUGCUGAAAUUUGUCAGCCCCAGAAUUUCUGCAAGUCUAGUUAAUUUUAUAAUCCAAUCUUCUACUGUAGGCAUCUCAUUGCUCUUUCAAUUUUUUUGCAUACAAUAAUCUUGUCCUCUUUACCAUAUACAAUAAAAUUUCCGAUAUUUCUUUUCUAAUCCCUUGUCCAUAAAACUUAGUAUGAAAAAUUCUGGUUUUAUUUGUGAUGUUAGUCCAUCUCUUUUGCAUCACUAUAUGCACUAUAUGCAAUACCCCCUUUUUUCUUUCUUUUUGCAGACAUGCAGACUGUUCUCCAUACCACAAACAAUAAUGUCUAUGGCAAAGCACAAGAGAAAAACUUUUUUUGCUUGGGUUUCUUCAUGUGGAUUAGGUGUGACAGGGAUGUUACAAUUUGACUCUCCUUGGGUACAAACCUCCGGGAAUCACUGGAUAAUCCCCCAAACAAUGGCACAUGGUUUUUGUGUCUUGUAGAAAUGGGGCAUUCCUGGGUAGCCAUCCCAGGCUUCCAGAGAUAAAAUACCCACCCCCACAGCACAGCCCACUUUGUGUCCCAGCUCAACUAUUUGAUUUAGAGCAGUUUGUCAUUUCUUGGCUUUAAUAAUGAGUUUUUGGUUUCUCUAAUGCAUUGGGCCACCAGCAUUAAGUGUUCCAGAUACUGUUCUCAGAUGGUUGAAAAGAUAACCACAUCUUAUUUAUAUAAAGAAGUCAUUAAAAUCCAUUUGCCAGUCUUUUAAAGUUGUGAGAACAUUCUAAAGAUGAAGGUAACUUGUGAUGCAUGACAGCAGCUGAUUUCUUAUUUUUAUUUUUCUACCAAGGGCCCUUUCUGUUACCUUUUUGUGGAGUCCAUGUAGAAAUACAGUAUCUGACUGUCUUAGCUGCUCCAUCAUAUCAGUUAGCCUGGCUCUGUUUUCCUAGGUUCUCCACAGACCAUGGAGAAAAUUAUUCUGCCCCACUCGUCAAGCAUAGCAACCAGGAUGCCUGGGUAGAUCCAUGCACUCCAAGAGAGUCAAUUCACUCCCACUUUCUGUGUCUCCUCGGGUUUUUUUUUAAAUACUUGUGUAGCUAGGGGGCUACUGAGUAGUCCUUCGUGUACUCCAUAUCUAUAAUGGAGAUGACCAGAUUUAUUUAUUUCUUAGGGAUACAGGCCACUUCAGUUGUAGCUGAUGCUGAGAAUUCCACUUUUAUAGUAGUGGUUAAAACAAUACAUCAGAACAGUUUUAAUAAUCUCAUCUGAAUGUGAUGUGAAAAUAAUCUCAUAUAUAAACUGCUUGGUAGGGGAUCAUCUCCACUUCAAUCUCUGACCAGUCCUGCCGAACAGGCAGAGAUCUUGCCUGGAGCAGGCAGUCUCAAUGAUAGCCAGUUCCUAAGCCAAGAUUAAUAUGUUCUAUGAAUAGCUUAGCAUACUUGCACUACUGCUUGAGUAUCAAGGCAAGAACCAAUGACAUGUUUUCUAUUCCAAUCCAUGGCAAAAUCCCCAACAGGUGUCUAUUGCUAGUAUUAAGCACCACCAAAUACUAGGGCUUCAGGGUAUUCACAAGCCAGGCUUCAGUCUAGAUCCUUGAAACACUAUGUCAUAAUUCAGCUGUUCUACCUUUUCUUUAAUGUGAUAACAACACUUCCAUACUCUCAGCCCUGGAGGCCAUCUUUCUCUUUGGAUCUUCAGGGCUGCCACAUUUAGUGCACAGGCCUGCUGUGGGAAACUGGGAGGAGGGUUGCAUGGAGUGGGUAGAAAUAGAUAGCCAAAAUAACAUUCUUUUCUCUGGGAGUCAAGGACAUUCACCCUGCACCUAGAAAGGCAUGACUGGGACACAUCUCUAGUUGGGAUGAUGGAUUGAUUGGACCAAUGUGAUGGAUUUUUGGAUGCAGGGGAAGAGACUUUGACUGGGGAAAACCCAGGGUGCUUUCAGAUUCGGGUUUUCCCAAAUGUGCCAAUAUGACAUCUCUAAUAAAGUGGAACUUUGAGGAACUCCUGGCCCCGGAGUCUUAUUCAGUUGGAGGUAUUACUUGGAAACCUGACACAUACGGCUUGGACCUUGAUAAUCUGUAUUGGUCUGAGGAGCAACAUCUGAUUUUCUGGCUCAAAUGUGUUGUUAUAAGGUGCUCUGUAAUAGCCCUGCUAUUCUUGGAGGACUUCCCUCUCUCUAUAAACAAAUCAGGUUCAGAUCCCAUUGAAGUCAUACCAUUUGAUGGGCCUUAGGAAGCAUCCCUUUUCUGUUAUGGUGACUGCCUUGUGGAAUAGCCUUUCCCCUGGAUAGAAACAGCCCUGAUCCUCCUAGCCUUUCAGAAAGCAGUUUUUCCUCUUGUUCUACCAUCUCAUCUCAAUUUAAAAAAUCCCGUUGAUAGGCUUUCUACCUUUUCCCACCUUACUUCACCUCCUGGGAUAUCUUUGCUUCAGAGUAUGCACUUCAGGAUGAAGCAUUCAUUCUACAAUUAGCACUAAGCAUGGAAGCAGGAUUAUUUUACAAAACUAGAACAAUUCAGUAAUUGCAUUCAAGAGACUUUAUGCCAAACAGAUGAACACAAUCAAAGAAAAACAUACCUAUCUCCUCUGUUUUUAAAAUUUGCUCUUUGCUUUUGGAAUUAAAUUUGUCCUAGGCUAUUUUUAGGGCCUGGAAAAGACAAUCCCCCUCCCCAGCAUUAAGCAACCCCAAACCAUCCAAUCCAUCUACCAUUCAGAGGCCAGGGAAACCACUAGCAUUUCACAGUAUGUUACCAGUGAGGCCCAGAAAAUGCCAAACAAGGCAAGAUCUUCCUCCUGCAAAUCAGCAUCUAAUCAGCGCUGCUUCCAAGCUCUGCCUCUAGCUUUAAAAGGUGAGAGGAUUCAUUCAUCCGCUACAAGCAUUUAGCUUUUUUCAUCUCUGACCAGAACCUUUGCGUGCCAGUUGCCAGUACGUUCCUGUGGAAAUAGUUGUUUCGUCCCCCGGGAAAUAAAAGUUAAUAUUCCAAGCAGAUGACAGAUUAAACUGGCAUUUGGAUUUGAUUUAACAGCCAUGUAGUUUUGUUGAAGUUGCAUCAGUUGUUCAGCUGAUUAGAAGCUAGCUGCACAAGUGGCCAUUGGCCUUUAUAUAUGGAGUUUUUUAGUCUAUAAAACUAAUGUACCAUUGAUUUUUUUUUUUUUAAAGCUAUACAUUCAAUCCUUAUAAAAGGACUUGUAGCUGGCAAACUCCUGUAGUCCUACUGAAAUUAGUUUUGCCCAGUGUGCUUGAUGCUCAGCAGGUGCACUUUUACUGUCCCUUCUGGAAGAUGUAAUUGGCUCUUCAGAUAUCUGGCAGAUCUGAUUUUCAGCUGCUUUCGGAGAUAAUCAAUUCAAAAAGUCAACUACCAGAAUCUCAAGCAACUCCAGAAGAAGGAGAGAGUGAGGAGAGGGAUGAGACAAUAAGCAGAGUGAAAACGGCAGGAUGUAUCUGAAGAAGCCUUAAGAUCAGUUAUUUCAACUGCUGGACCUGUCGACACAUCCAAUGGCAAAAAAUUCUUUCCUGGAUAUAAUCAAGACUGGAAGAAUUAAUUCUAACCUGGAGAUCAAAGGCAGAGCUUAGUAGGAAAGUGGUGUGCAGAGCUCCAGAUUUAAGAUCAAUGUGAUUUGGCAGCCUUUUUUUUCUUUGAUAUCAGUUUCAAUAUGACUGGAAUGUACUCAAGGCAAAAUGCUUCAUCCCAAGAUAUUAAUCUUCCUCACCACCAGCCAGAUGGAGACCCUUUUGCAUCAAAACUCUCAAAGGAAGCUGACAUAAUCGCUGGAAUUUAUUUAUUAAUAAUAGGGAUCCUGUCCACUUUAGGCAAUGGAUAUGUUAUUUAUAUGUCAAUACAACGGAAAAGGAAGCUCAAGCCAGCAGAGAUCAUGACGGUAAAUCUAGCAGUCUGUGACUUGGGGAUUUCAGUGGCAGGAAAACCAUUUAGUAUCAUUGCAUUCUUCUCCCACCGUUGGAUCUUUGGUUGGAGUGGCUGCCGCUGGUAUGGAUGGACUGGCUUCUUCUUUGGAGUUGGAAGUCUUAUUACCAUGACUGCAGUCAGUCUGGACCGGUAUUUUAAAAUAUGCUAUUUAUCUUAUGGAAUCUGGUUGAAGAGACACCAUGCUUUUAUUUGCCUAGGGAUUAUCUGGUCUUAUGCUGCCUUCUGGGCCACGAUUCCCUUUGCUGGCUUGGGGAAUUAUGCUCCUGAGCCCUUCGGCACAUCCUGCACCUUGGACUGGUGGCUGGCUCAAGGUUCAGUGGCAGGGCAGGCAUUCAUUCUCAACAUCCUUUUCUUUUGCCUUGUAUUCCCAACUGCUGUGAUCGUGUUUUCCUAUAUUAAAAUAAUAGCAAAGGUCAAGUCAUCCAGCAAGGAUGUAGCUCAUUAUGACAGCAGGAUUCAGAAUAGCCAUGAAUUAGAAAUAAAACUAACUAAGGUGGCGAUGUUGAUCUGUGCAGGAUUUCUAUUUGCUUGGAUCCCAUAUGCAGUUGUAUCAGUAUGGUCAGCUUUCGGAAAACCAGAUUCAGUUCCCAUAAAAGUUUCGGUGGUGCCUACUUUGCUUGCUAAAUCAGCAGCCAUGUACAACCCUGUUAUUUACCAGGUCAUCAACUGCAAAUCAGCCUGUUGUCAUCGGGCGGCUCUUAGGCCACUACAGAAGAAAAACUCCUUGAAGAAAUCCAGGCUCUAUGUAGUCUCUACAGAAAAGUCUGAAGUAAUGACUGAAACUCAACUGGAUGUUGCCUGAAAGCUGGGAAUCCACACCUCUCCACCCAACCAGCCGGUUUCCUUCUCAGCUGCUUCUGCUCCAAAACGCUUUAAAAGUACGCCAGCUCCAUCUUGGGAAAUUAUUUUCCUCGCUUGUAUUUUCUCACAGGGUCCUAAUAUUAGUUCUUGCUAUUCCAAUCAAAGAUAUAUUUUUAAAAGUAACCAUUUUGUUUGUAUUUUAAUUAGGUAAAAAGUCUCCCUGCAUCAUUCUUAUUUUACAUAUUUUAAAGCGAUUACAAUGAAUACAGAUAAAUAGGUGUAUAGUACAUAGUAAUAGUAAACAACAUAGCAAAUUGGUGCUUAGAUUCCAUAUACUUUACCCUGUUGAUCCGUUGUCUUUCCUCUCAAUGAAAUGCUGCCAGCCUGUCAGCAACAGUCACAUGACACAGAGAAGCAACGGAUGUCUUUGGCCAAGAGCUGCAGAGCGAAGAGAGUGGCCAUUCCAUACUUUCUGCUUGGCCCUCCACUGGAAUGGACCACUUACUGCUUCUCCAGGGCAGGAAUGGAGGACGUCCUCCAUGUGGCCUGCUCCCAUAUUCUCCGCUUCAGUUCAAAACUGUUGUUUUCAGCCAGAGCAGUUUUCAGCUCUUCAGAGUAUAAUGAUCUCGAGCACUUUCUUCCAUUCUAGUCAUCGUCCCAGUUCUGCUUGGCUGCAAUGCCUGGCAUGUGCCCUCCCCUCCAGCAGCUGAUCACAUUUUGUCCUGGGCUGCUACUUUCUCAGCACUUUUAAUAAAUGCUAUUUCUAUUAAUCCAUUGAGGGCCUGUUAAAUCAAUGAGCUAUCCUCAAGCCUAGAAGUUUACAAUCCUUAUAUCUCCUGGUAAGCACUUUUUAGUUUCUGCCAGGCUGGGUGAAUCAUGCUUCCCUUGCUUUCCCAUCAUUGGUCCCCAGUUUUCCUUCCCCUUAUGUUUUUAACUUCUUUAAUUUACAACAAGGAAAAUAUUGCUGUAUUUUGUUUCCAUGAAACUAUGUAGAUCAAUCCACCCACCCCAAUCUAUUCCCUAUUGUUUUUAAUUGUAGUCUCAGUGCUAUGAUAGUACCUUAAGGGGGGAAAGUAAUAUAGAAAAGUGCUAUGGUAGUGUCAGAUAAGAUAAUGGGUUAUGCACCCAUGACAGAUCGCUCCAUACAAGAGAGAGCCUUCCCUUCCUUGUGUGGAUGAAAGGGGAAGAAGCAGGGGAAUGCCUGGUUGUGCAGGGCUUGAUCUGGACUAAGCAUCAUCCCAGCUUUGGCAAAUCCAAUUUUUGUAGUUGCCUGAAGAAGCAAUCACCAACAACAUGGUGGACAAGCAGCUAAGGCUACAGUGCAAAAUUGCCCAGAGCUAAUGGCUUUUAGCUACCGUCAUACAAGAAUCUACAGAAAUAUUAGGUCUAAUGUAUAUUAUGCCAUGUUGGGAAAGGAAGUGGUUCAAUUGCUCAACAGAAAAGUGAAAAUCUUGGCUUCAAAUCUUUAUUUACUUUUUUCAUUUAUUUAAAUAUGUUUAAUGAAAACAAAAGACGUGGCCAGAGCAGUUUUGUAAAAUAUUUUCACACGUGGAAUUGGUACUGUCAUAUCAAUUGUCAAUAUAUUCCUUCUAACAUAAUUAUACUGUGUAUGUUUCCCUUGCUCUAAUUUGGUUUGUGAUUUAUGAGUAACUGGACAUUGGCCAAGAUGGGCAUCCUCCUCUAAUGCUGUUAGACUGCACUUAUCUUGCCUGUGCCUGGGGGAAACAAGGAAAUGCACAAGGAAUCACCAUGUAUUUAACAAAGCUCAGUUACAUUUAAAUUUAGAUUAAUUCACCUGGUGAAGGGAAGCGGCUGUGCAGGCAGGAAAUGACUGCUGGAAGAAGCUAAAAAACCUGCACAAAUUUAGGAAAAGAUCCAGCUGCUUUAAUGAUUUAUGAAAAGGAGCAUCAUAUAGGUUCUGAAACAUCACUUUUGAAGACUGAAUAUUUCCAUCAACCUAAUAUUAGUAUUCACACAACUCCUGCAUAUUACUCUUAGCAUUUGCUGGACUUCUUCAAAAUCUAGAUUGCUUCAGAUGUGGUGUCUGGAUAUUGGGGAGUUUCUGAAUGUGAUUUUUCUUCACAUUGUGGUUGUGGGGAUUAGGCUGGAAUGUCCUUGGGUGCCUUUAUGCUAUUAUUGUGCUGACAUUAUUAUUUACUUACUGUACACUUACUAAGUGUAAUAACUUACUGCUACUGCUUGAUUUUGUUCUUUGUUGGCUUUACUCCAAUAUUCAUUACUCAGAGUUGCAACAGUGAGAUAGGUAGCUGUAUAAAUCAAUAUAAUAAAUAAUAAAUGCUAAGUUAACAAAACAUGGAGGGGAGAAAACCUUGAUUCAAACUAUGGACAGUUUACAUCAAGGUUUAGUUUUGGUUUGCAGUGGGUUUUUGUUUUUUCCUUUUGUUAUUUUGUUUAUUAAAAAUGUUUGAGGGAGAAAGAAGAGAACUGUAAACUAAUCUGUCACAGCCAGAAUAAUUUCAAAAUAAUUUUUAAAAUAAAGCAACAGAGGAUCUCUAAUGGAAACUUUUUUUUUUUGAAAAUUAGAUAAGUAUAGAAUACGACUUUAAAAAAUAAUGAGGAAUUGGAAGCAUACCUCAGGCAAAAAAAUUAAUCUGUGGUCAAGAAAGAACAGAACAACAAUACUGCCCCAAGAAUAUUACAACUUACUGUUGUAAGAGAAGAGAAUACUGUCUGCAGGAAAAAGUCUAUUUACCACUCUCCUUUGUGCUCAAAUUAGCCAGGGGAGAAGAUUAUAAUUUUAUUCCUUCAUACCUUUAUUUUAUUUAUUUUAUUUAUUUAUUUUGUCACAACAAUAUAUAUAGGUGUCAUAUAGGUAUCAUACAAAAGAUCUCUCUCUCUCUGUCUGUCUGUCUCUCCCUCCCUCCCUCCCACACCAUAUUUUGAGUUCAUGUUUGAGGAACAAACAUAGGAUCUGGUACAUCUAAAGAUUGCCUGAGUUGGCUACAGCUCAUCCAUCUAGAGCAGCCCCUUCCCUUCAACCCCCACAGAGGAGAAUGUCUCUUGCAUCCUGUAAUUCCAGGACAAUAGGAUUGCACAGGUUAGUGAAUGCUGGCUUAAACAGUAAUCUUUCCACAAGUGUCUUCUGUGGUAGAAUGGUCCAAGUCGUCCUUUUCCCAUUUACUGCCCCUCUUAAAUAAAAAUAUAAAACAGAUUUUAGAUUCAAUUAGAUAAUAUAUCUGACUCGACAGUAAUGAAUUCUGGUGAAUUCCAGUGAAUUCAUCUGCAUUGAAUAAGAGGGUUAUUUUCCUUUCUUCUUGGCUUUUUCCCCAUCUUAAACACAGAUGUACUUCUGCA